rnacentral:hammerhead_ribozyme from 1 species
GUACUUCUGAGGAGUCCCAAACAGGGGUAAAACAGCUGUCCAGUAC